UGGGAUGAAGUUGCCGUCAAUUUCGUAUUUCCGUCGUCAUACGGAAUCCAAUACGGAACGUCGUGUCGAGCGGCGCGCGGCGUCACGACGCGUCGUGCAGUAGUAGUAAAUAUAAUCGUCAUUUAUCCUUUGUUUAGCCGCGCUUUAGUAUUUAAUAAUCGCUCAAAGACGGAUCGACCGGGAUAUUUCGAUAAAUCGUCAAAAUGAAUGCAUAUUUCGCGAUAUUCGAUCGAGAGCCAUCGCGCGAACGGCGACGCCGACGUUUUUAGAUGUACGUACAUGUUGCGCGUAUCGCGGAUAUUAUUUAAGUCAUGCUUUUAAUCCGUGCAUUUAUUCAUAUUGCUCGUAUUAUUUACUCGUAUCAGGAUAUAUAGGAUAAUUGUUAAUAAAAUGCGAGCGAUGAUUGUGAUGAAAAGUGCAAAAAGUGCGUGAAGUGUAGCCGCGGGAGCAACAGGUGUAGCGUUAUCGCGAGUUCGCGACGUCGUCCCUGCGGCCUGCCUGACAGGCCUAACAGCUGACGCGUGAAGUUAACGAGUUGACCGCUAGAUCGUGGCGUCUAUUCGCGCUCGCGCAACAUCGCGGAUCGUAAUCGAUAUCGAGCGGAUUGUCUUCGCGUGAUCGUAUCUUGUCCGCAUCAUCCUUCCGCGGCCUCGUAAAAGUGCGUAUAAUCGUCCGAUUGUCGCUAUACGAAGUGCCAUGCGAAGUGUGACACUGUGUGAGUGUCGCAUUUUUUGCCAAUUAGUGCGCGUGAGUCUUGCGACUAACCUCGUUUUCGCGAAUGAGCAUUAUUAACCUCGGAAGUAUCUCGUGCAAGUACCAUUGUGCAAGUACUAUAAUUAAUGUUUUUAUGAAGAAAUUCAGCAUGGUGUUGCAAAAACAAAAACGGAGAUACGUGAGAGAAGGACGAGGUUAGGCCGAGGCAAUAGGGCCAAUAGGUAUCGGCGGAACAACCGAUAAAAUUAAUGUAUUACGGUGCCGCUGCUGCGCGUUUUGUGCCGGUGAGUGUUAAAUUUUUUGUUUUAUUUUUGAGAUAGUGAAUUUAUAAAAUAGAUUUGUCAAAUGUAAUAUAAGAUGUGGAUAUAAGAUGAAUGUCAUUAAAUAACCGCAAAGAAUUAAGAAUUCUUUCCUGAUAAUCGUUUAGCCAGAUUAUUAAAUCUUAUAAGGAAAGUAUCUUAUAUAUUUAUUUUAUACAUGCAUUUUAUACUCUAAUUCUUCAUAAGUUUCCAUGAGACGUAUAA